rnacentral:tRNA from 1 species
GGUGGCCUAGUGGUUAAGGACUCAGCAUUGACACUGCUGUGGCUCAGGUUCAAUCCCUGGCC